GGUAUAUUGAAGAAAGGUACAGCAAUCUAAGCAGUCAGUGGAUGCGGGGAGUGGUAAACAGUGGAGGGUAGAAAAUGAUAGCUGGCGAGUCGGCGAGCUGGCUGAUUCGUUAAUGUGAUUUUCCCCUCUAGUAGUUGCUAUCGUUUCCAUAGGAUUGUUUUUAUUGAUCGUAGUGCUUUGAUAAUGAGAAGCAAAACUCAAAGCAUUUGCAAACUAACAAUAAACUCUAUAGAGUAGAAAGACUCAGUUUAGAGUUGCUUCCUUCCAGGGGACCGGCCAGGACAACUGCAUUAAAUACAGGCUGUUACCCGUAGGCGAUGGGCUACGACAGAAAGAGGGAGUUCGCCAAAAUUUCGCGCAAACAAAACUGAACGUAACAGAUAGAUGGCAUUGACUUAACCGAUGAAACUGUCGAGUGCG